rnacentral:rRNA from 1 species
CUACGUGCCAGCAGCCGCGGUAAUACGUAGGUGGCAAGCGUUGUCCGGAUUUAUUGGGCGUAAAGCGAGCGCAGGCGGUCAAUUAAGUCUGAUGUGAAAGCCCCCGGCUCAACCGGGGAGGGUCAUUGGAAACUGGUUGACUUGAGUGCAGAAGAGGAGAGUGGAAUUCCAUGUGUAGCGGUGAAAUGCGUAGAUAUAUGGAGGAACACCAGUGGCGAAGGCGACUCUCUGGUCUGUAACUGACGCUGAGGCUCGAAAGCGUGGGUAGCAAACAGGAUUAGAUACCCUGGUAGUCCACGCCGUAAACGAUGAGUGCUAAGUGUUGGAGGGUUUCCGCCCUUCAGUGCUGCAGUUAACGCAUUAAGCACUCCGCCUGGGGAGUACGGCCGCAAGGCUGAAACUCAAAGGAAUUGACGGGGACCCGCACAAGCGGUGGAGCAUGUGGUUUAAUUCGACGCAACGCGAGGAACCUUACCAGAUCUUGACAUCCUG